rnacentral:rRNA from 1 species
AUGUUGAGGUUGGUCCUGGAAUGGUUGGCAUUGGGACUUUUGGUGGCAGUAUAUUCUUAUGCCGACGACAAGCAUUUGCAGGACGAUUAUGUGGUACCAUUGAUUGUGCCUCAGCUUCGUAGCCGAUCUUCGAUCGUCCAUGGCAUCAACACACAAAUUGAUAAUGCAAACCUCAGGCAUGCGGAUGCGGGCGUGAUGGCGGGCAUCUCCGGCAGUGGCAGCGACCUGCAGGCAAGAGGCAACGACUGGGGUGUUCGAUUCGAUCCAGCGCCAUGGCCCGGUCCCUGCAGGAGAGAGAGAGAUGAGGGACAGAGAGAGAAGGAACGAGAGGAGGGAGAAAGAGAGAGGGAGGUGAAUGCACUUGACUCUUCAAGAUCGAGGGCACCAUUGGAAAGGCCGAGUAUGUCCAUCGACAGCCUGCCCAGUGUCCGGAUUCACCAAACAGUACAACCGGAGACGCUGUCGGCUGCCUGCAGCACCAAGCCGUCCGCUGUUGUCUCUGCCCGAAGAAGGAUUAUGGUUCUCCACCUCUUUGCUACUCAUAUUAAAAUUCUGCUAUUCCAGAGAAGUUUAGAGCUUCUGCAACCUUUUGAAGACACGAUUUAUAGUUGCGGAGAUGAAACAAUCAAUCAGUUGCGAUGCAUUACAUAA